ACAGCUCACAAUUCUUUAAUGUUAAACUCCACAUGGCGCAUGACAAAUACCUCCCUCUAUUAUAAACUGGUCUACCAGCACACUUGCUGAGUGUCAUCGUGAGCGUACCAUAUGGAAAGUAUGGUCAGUUUUGUUGUAACCGUGGCUGUGACUUUGUUUUUGUUGUUGAUACCUGUUUGUACCACGACACAGGGAGUAGGAACUUCUGGUGUCCUUCCCAUCGAAGGUGGAAAAGAUGUUUACAGACACGAAUAUGCUAGUAUUAGUUUUUCUGUUAUGCUGAGCGACAUCCUUUGUAGCCUGUGUGACUCCAUUCAAAGCAAGAAACAGAAAAGACGCUGUAAACGGCAGAACUGUAUCUCUACCAGAGACUUGGUAGAGAAUGGAAAAAAAUAACUCAUUCAGUUGCAAAUUUAUGAAUAAAUUAAGUCAAGGUUCUGCAUACAACUCAUUCAUUGGACAGACACACAUGCAAUUCAAUCAAGAUAUAAUCAUGGUGCUGAUUGCUGAGGCAAAAAGACACCCCUUACAUGUUUUGUCUAAUUUUAUAUCAUCGUAACUGUUUUUAUAUUUCUAUUUGUCAUGUCUGAUCUUUUUACGGAGAAAAAUAGCCAUACUAUAAUGCAUUGAAGCAAAUCUGUGUCAUCAUUUCGUAAUUUAUAUAUUUCAAACCAAAUAACGGGCUUAAACAGCUCACAAUUCUCUAAUGUUAAACUCCACAUGGCGCAUGACAAAUACCUCCCUCUAUUAUAAACUGGUCUACCAGCACACUUGCUGAGUGUCAUCGUGAGCGUACCAUAUGGAAAGUAUGGUCAGUUUUGUUGUAACCGUGGCUGUGACUUUGUUUUUGUUGCUGAUUCCUGUUUGUACCACGACACAUGGAGUAGGAACUUUUGGUGUCCUUCCCAACGAAGAUGGAAGUGGUGUUCGUGGAUAUUCAUCUAGUUUGUCUGUUAUAUUAGGCGACAUGCUUUGUAGACUGUGUGACUCCAUUCAAAACGAGAGACAGAAAAGACGCUGUAAGCGGCAAAACUGUAUCUUUACCAGAUACUGGGGACUAUUAGUAGAUUCGGGGCGGCGAAUUUGAUCUUUUGACUUGAAAUGGAGAUAUCAAACGAUGUGUCCAGUUAUUCUAUAAUUAAAUAAAUCGUAUUGUCACUUAUAUGCUAACAUUAUCUGUACUAUGAGAAGCAAAGCAAAUGUACUUAAUAUUUGUGUAUGUAGUACGACAUAAAAUAUGUAUCAAGAUAACGCAACUCGCAAUCAUGUGGAUGUAUUUAAGGAAUAAGGGAUCAUUCUUG